CCAGCGCGUGAUGGCGGGGACUCAUAGGAGACUGCCGGGGUCAACUCGGAGGAAGGUGGGGACGACGUCAAAUCAUCAUGCCCCUUAUGUCUUGGGCUUCACGCAUGCUACAAUGGCCGGUACAAAGGGUUGCGAUACUGUGAGGUGGAGCUAAUCCCAAAAAGCCGGUCUCAGUUCGGAUUGGGGUCUGCAACUCGACCCCAUGAAGUCGGAGUCGCUAGUAAUCGCAGAUCAGCAACGCUGCGGUGAAUACGUUCCCGGGCCUUGUACACACCGCCCGUCAAGUCACGAAAGUUGGUAACACCCGAAGCCGGUGGCCUAACCCUUGUGGGGGGAGCCGUCNAAGGUGGGACCGGCGAUUGGGACUAANUCNUAACAAGGUA
rnacentral:rRNA from 1 species